GGCAUUGGAGUUUUUUACUAUGUUAAGACACCUGAGAGGUUGUGUGUACGUGUCUGUGUUGGGGUGCAUGUGUGUUCAUGCUUAUAAGUGUAUAAUUGCAUAUGUGUGGGGAAGCCUUAAUUCAAUGUUAGGUGUCUUCUCACUUGAUCUCUACCUCACUUUUUGAGACCCCAUCUCUCACUGAACUUGGAACAUGCUUAUCUGGCUGGAAUGGUAGAUCAAUAUGCCCCUGGGUCUUCUGUCCCUUCCUUAACACUAAUUAUCUGUUUAAUAUGUGCUCUCAUGAAUCAAACUGUGGUCCUCAGUUUUACACAGCUCUGGGUUUCCAAUUCCGUAUUUCAGCUGGGAGUAUUCCAUAGACUCUUUGGUUUUGCCUUAUCUGACAUCUUGGUGGUGAGUAAUUAUGAUUCAGAGUGGCAGCUGGACCCAGUGAAGAACAUGCUGAUCCUCUCAGCACUGAAAGAGAUCCUGUAUACUGCAAAUGGAUUCUUAGAGGAUUUGCCUUUGAAC
rnacentral:lncRNA from 1 species